GCUUUAUACACUUAGCAAAUAAAUAUGCAACUUUGGAAAACUUUCUUCUUACAUUUCCUUAUUCCUGUUUGAAAAGUCUGAAAGGAAGGUUCAAGCCAGACUUUUGUUUCUUGGGAAUUUUCUUCCCACCUCUGCAUAUCUUUGGAAUCCACUGGACAAAAUUGAGAUGUUGUGAUAAAACUGAGAUUCAACGAACAAACAAACAAAAAGACAAAUCACUUGCCCAAGAUGAGGCGUGUUGCAAGGUAUGAAGCUGAUCUGUUAAUGCCAGGCUCUUAACUAUAACACUGUACAGUUG